ACGCUCGACACCUACGGGAGGCAGCAGUGGGGAAUAUUGCACAAUGGGGGAAACCCUGAUGCAGCGACGCCGCGUGAGCGAAGAAGUAUUUCGGUAUGUAAAGCUCUAUCAGCAGGGAAGAAACUGACGGUACCUGACUAAGAAGCACCGGCUAAAUACGUGCCAACAGCCGCGGUAAUCUGAGGCGGGCUGGCAAGGC
rnacentral:rRNA from 1 species